rnacentral:rRNA from 1 species
AGAGUUUGAUCCUGGCUCAGAACGAACGCUGGCGGCAGGCUUAACACAUGCAAGUCGAGCGCCCAGCAAUGGGAGCGGCGGACGGGUGAGUAACACGUGGGAAUAUGCCCUUCGGUACGGAACAACUCAGGGAAACUUGAGCUAAUACCGUAUACGCCCUUACGGGGAAAGAUUUAUCGCCGAAGGAUUAGCCCGCGUCUGAUUAGCUUGUUGGUGAGGUAACGGCUCACCAAGGCUUCGAUCAGUAGCUGGUCUGAGAGGACGACCAGCCACACUGGGACUGAGACACGGCCCAGACUCCUACGGGAGGCAGCAGUGGGGAAUCUUGGACAAUGGGGGAAACCCUGAUCCAGCCAUGCCGCGUGAGUGAUGAAGGCCUUAGGGUUGUAAAGCUCUUUUGGCGGGGACGAUAAUGACUGUACCCGCAGAAUAAGCCCCGGCUAACUUCGUGCCAGCAGCCGCGGUAAUACGAAGGGGGCUAGCGUUGUUCGGAAUUACUGGGCGUAAAGCGUGCGCAGGCGGCUAUUCAAGUCAGGGGUGAAAGCCCAGAGCUCAACUCUGGAAUUGCCUUUGAAACUGUAUGGCUUGAGUGCGGGAGAGGUGAGUG